rnacentral:rRNA from 1 species
AGAUACCCCUGUAGUCCCAGCCGUAAACUAUGCUCGCUAGGUGUCAGGCAUGGCGCGACCGUGUCUGGUGCCGCAGGGAAGCCGUGAAGCGAGCCACCUGGGAAGUACGGCCGCAAGGCUGAAACUUAAAGGAAUUGCGGGGGAGGCACCACAACGGGUGGAGCCUGCGGUUUAAUUGGACUCAACGCCGGGAAGCUCACCGGAUAAGACAGCGGAAUGAUUGCCGGGCUGAAGACUCUGCAUGACUAGCUG